AGAAGGCUUUCGGGUUGUAAAGCACUUUCAGACGUGAGGAAAGGGGUACGGUUAAUACCCGUAUCAGUUGACGUUAGCGUCAGAAGAAGCACCGGCUAACUCCGUGCCAGCAGCCGCGGUAAUACGGAGGGUGCAAGCGUUAAUCGGAAUUACUGGGCGUAAAGCGCGCGUAGGUGGCUAAGUCAGUCAGAUGUGAAAGCCCAGGGCUCAACCUUGGAAUUGCACCUGAUACUGCUUAGCUAGAGUAUGGUAGAGGGGUGUGGAAUUUCCUGUGUAGCGGUGAAAUGCGUAGAUAUAGGAAGGAACACCAGUGGCGAAGGCGACACCCUGGACCAAUACUGACACUGAGGUGCGAAAGCGUGGGUAGCAAACAGGAUUAGAUACCCUGGUAGUCCACGCCGUAAACGAUGUCUACUAGCCGUUGGGAGACUUGAUUUCUUAGUGGCGCAGCUAACGCGAUAAGUAGACCGCCUGGGGAGUACGGUCGCAAGAUUAAAACUCAAAGGAAUUGACGG
rnacentral:rRNA from 1 species